rnacentral:rRNA from 1 species
GAUGAACGCUAGCGGCAGGCUUAAUACAUGCAAGUCGAGGGGUCAGCAAUGACACCGGCGGACGGGUGCGUAACGCGUAUGCAACCUACCUACAUCAGGGGGAUAGCCCUAGGAAACUGGGAUUAACACCGCAUAAUAUUAUUAAUGGCAUCAUUGAUAAUUGAAAUAUUUAUAGGAAGUAGAUGGGCAUGCGUAAGAUUAGCUAGUUGGUAAGGUAACGGCUUACCAAGGCUACGAUCUUUAGGGGCUCUGAGAGGAGUAUCCCCCACACUGGCACUGAGAUACGGGCCAGACUCCUACGGGAGGCAGCAGUAGGGAAUAUUGGGCAAUGGAGGCAACUCUGACCCAGCCAUGCCGCGUGCAGGAAGACGGCCCUCUGGGUUGUAAACUGCUUUUGAAUGGGAAGAAUGUGUGGCUUGCGAGCUAUAAUGACGGUACCAUUAGAUAAGCCACGGCUAACUACGUGCCAGCAGCCGCGGUAAACGU